GACGAACGCUGGCGGCGUGCUUAACACAUGCAAGUCGAACGAAGUGGCGAACGGGUGAGUAACGCGUAAUCAACCUGCCCUUCAGAGGGGGACAACAGUUGGAAACGACUGCUAAUACCGCAUACUGAAGGAGGGGAUUGCGUCUGAUGAGCUUGUUGGGGGGGUAACGGCCCACCAAGGCGAUGAUCAGUAGCCGGUCUGGGGAGGUGAACGGCCACAAUGGGACUGGGACACGGCCCAGACUCCUACGGGAGGCAGCAGGGGGGAAUCUUCCGGAAUGGACGAAAGGCUGACGGGGCAACGCCGCGUGAGUGAUGACGGCCUUCGGGUUGUAAAGCUCUGUUAAUCGGGACGCGGUACCGGAAUAGAAAGCCACGGCUAACUACGUGCCAGCCGCCGCGGUAAUUC
rnacentral:rRNA from 1 species